rnacentral:rRNA from 1 species
AUGCAUGUCUAAGUACAAGCCUCACUAAGGUGAAACCGCGAAUGGCUCAUUAAAUCACACCUAAUCUACUGGAUUGUUCCUUUUACUUGGAUAACUGCGGUAAUUCUGGAGCUAAUACAUGCGAAAAAGCCUCAACUCACGGCGAGGCGCUUUUAUUAGACCAAAACCAAACGGUUCUUCCGUUACUCUGGUGAUUCUGAAUAACUUUUUGCAGAUCGUACGGACCUGUUCCGACGACAAAUCCAUCGAAGGUGUGCCCUAUCAACUGUCGACUGUGGUAUAGACGUCCACAGUGGUUUUGACGGGUAACGGGGAAUUAGGGUUCGAUUCCGGAGAGGGAGCCUGAGAAACGGCUACCACU